GCAGGUAUAGUUUAGUGGUAAAAUAAAUCCUUGCCAAGGAUUAGUUACGGGUCCGAUUCCCGUUACCUGCUCCA
rnacentral:tRNA from 1 species